rnacentral:rRNA from 1 species
AACAGGAUUAGAUACCCUGGUAGUCCACGCCGUAAACGAUGUCGACUUGGAGGUUGUUCCCUUGAGGAGUGGCUUCCGGAGCUAACGCGUUAAGUCGACCGCCUGGGGAGUACGGCCGCAAGGUUAAAACUCAAAUGAAUUGACGGGGGCCCGCACAAGCGGUGGAGCAUGUGGUUUAGUUCGAUGCAACGCGAAGAACCUUACCUACUCUUGACAUCCAGAGAACUUAGCAGAGAUGCUUUGGUGCCUUCGGGAACUCUGAGACAGGUGCUGCAUGGCUGUCGUCAGCUCGUGUUGUGAAAUGUUGGGUUAAGUCCCGCAACGAGCGCAACCCUUAUCCUUUGUUGCCAGCGGUUCGGCCGGGAACUCAAAGGAGACUGCCAGUGAUAAACUGGAGGAAGGUGGGGAUGACGUCAAGUCAUCAUGGCCCUUACGAGUAGGGCUACACACGUGCUACAAUGGCGCAUACAAAGAGAAGCGACCUCGCGAGAGCAAGCGGACCUCAUAAAGUGCGUCGUAGUCCGGAUCGGAGUCUGCAACUCGACUCCGUGAAGUCGGAAUCGCUAGUAAUCGUAGAUCAGAAUGCUACGGUGAAUACGUUCCCGGGCCUUGUACACACCGCCCGUCACACCAUGGGAGUGGGUUGCAAAAGAAGUAGAUAGCUUAACCUUCGGGAGGGCGUUUACCACUUUGUGAUUCAUGACUGGGGUGAAGUCGUAACAAGGUAACC